rnacentral:SRP_RNA from 1 species
GCUGGGUGUGGUGGCGCACACCUGUAAUCCCAGCUACUUGGGAGGCUGAGGCAGGAGAAUUGCUUGAGCCCGGGAGGCAGAGGUUGCAGUGAGCUAGGAUCAUGCCACUGCACUCCAGCCUGGGGGACAGAGUGAGACUCAGUCUCCA